ensembl:lncRNA
CCUAUGUAAAAAUAUAUCUGACAGCAGAGCUUUCGAGUCAGCGCUUUUCUUCAUUUUCCCCGCUGCUCAAUCCAUCCAGCGGCUGUCACAGUGGGGAAGCGGACAAUCUAUCAAGUAAUUUAGGAACAGUUCAAAGGUGACAGCAACAAAGGGUGCUGGGAGGUGACCUCUAUAUUUGCACCUUCAGCUGGCAGCUGCAAUAGUGGAUAGUGCCAUCCAUGAAAAAACUUUGCUGUGUUGGGCAGUCCACAAAACACAAAACGAAUGAAUUGCGGACAGAGCAGUGUAUGUGGAAACACAGAGCCUUGGUGAUUAUGUUUGUUUUAAAUAACUGCGAAGAUAACUGAUGUGAACGUAUCUUCUUGAAUCCUUCUGAGUUUAUGUGUCCUGAUCAAUGCUGCAGUGAACUGGGCAGGAAUAUGUAAAGGGAAGUAAAAUUGAAAACUCCUUAACCCGAAGUGCUGCAGACACUUCUGAACUCCUUCACAAAGAGGGAAGAACACAAUAUCAAGAUGUUAGCUAUUUUCACUGAAAUCCAUAGGAGUCUUACGAAUGAUUUCAGCAGAGAGGAUUUCUUGUUUUACUGGAACUCUCACACUUUAAAGAACUCUCCUGUGUGGGGGGAGUUGCAUGGGGAGAAUGGAUUGACCAGUAUCAAUGUACAUUUCAUCAGGUAGAGAUGUUGUUCUGGAACUCAGAAAUCCAGUACAUAGGACUACCAUCAAUAUACAAAUAUGCUGAAUAUAUGGAAGCAAAGGUGAAUGAAGAAGAAUUCAUAUGACUUGUAUACAAACUUAUCAUGAGGAAUAAAAAUAAUGAAACUCACUCAUUUUCACAAAGUCCAUGACUAUAUUUAAAUUUGUUGUGAUUCAUUCAUAUUUUCUCCAAAGC